AUGUAAUGGAACUCGUCUUAUGACGAACGC
rnacentral:sRNA from 1 species